rnacentral:rRNA from 1 species
AUUGAACGCUGGCGGCAGGCCUAACACAUGCAAGUCGAGCGAGCGGCGGACGGGUGAGUAAUGUAUGGGGACUGCCCGAUAGAGGGGGAUAACUCCUGGAAACGGUGGCUAAUACCGCGUACUGUCGGAUAACCCAUAUGGGGUUAGCUAGUAGGUAAGGUAAUGGCUUACCUAGGCGACUAUCGCUAGCUGGUCUGAGAGGAUGAUCAGCCAAACUGGGACUGAGAAAGGGCCCAGACUCUUAGGGAGGCAGAAGGGGGGAAUAUUGCACAAGGGGCGAAAGCCUGAUGCAGCCAUGCCGGGUGUAUGAAGAAGGCCUUAGGUUUGAAAAGUACUUUCAGUCGGGAGACGUUACUGAAAGAAGAAGAACCGGCUAAUUCCGUGCCAGCAGCCGCGGUAAUU